rnacentral:lncRNA from 1 species
AGCAGUCAGGGCUUCAUGCACAUGAAGCUGUCUCGGACCAAGGAACACAAGUAUGUGCUGGGCCAGAACAGCCCACCCUUCAGCAGCGUCCCUGAAAUCGUGCACCACUAUGCCAGCCGAAAGCUGCCCAUUAAGGGAGCGGAACACAUGUCCCUGCUCUACCCUGUGGCCAUCCGGACUCUGUAGAUGUGAGACCAGGGCAGUAUGAUAGACCUGGACCCAGCCCUUGUCACCUGCACGAGGGCUGCGGUUCUUGCUAAGGACAUGAUGUCAGAAACUUGGCUUCCCCUUGUCCUAGGAUCUAGUAGGCGCUGAAGAUUCCUUAAUUUAUUAUAAAGGGGAGGGAAUCAUGGGCCUUGGAAUAAAGGGGCUGUGUGGAGCUGGGAACAGAGGAAAGCCUGAGGAGGAAAGGAUCUUCCCGCCCCGGUCAGACACUAGGGAGGAAGUGGCGACCUCCCGCACGACCCACCCUCCGCCCCUUCCCUCUUCGGUCCCCCAGCCCCUGUCCCCAGAGUGCCCGCCCGGGCUCCCAGCCAGAAGCUCGGCCAGGCAGAACCGCGGCAGCCGGCGCCGCCCAGAGACUGACGGGAGGGGGCGGGGAGCGAGCCAGACUAUAAAUCGGCGCUGGAGCCGACGCCGGCCGCCUGCGAAAAGCA